rnacentral:lncRNA from 1 species
CUCACUGUCAGGCCUCUGAGCCCAAGCCAAGCCAUCGCAUCUCCUGUGACUUGCACCUAUACGCCCAGAUGGCCUGAAGUAACUGAAGAAUCACAAAAGAAGUGAAAAGGCCCUGCCCCGCCUUAACUGAUGACAUUCCACCAUUGUGAUUUGUUCCUGCCCCAACUUAACUGAAUGAUUAACCCUGGGAAUUUCCUUCUCCUGGCUCAGAAGCUCCCCCACUGAGCACCUUGUGACCCCCGCCCCUGCCCACCAGAGAACAACCCCCUUUGACUGUAAUUUUCCAUUACCUUCCCAAAUCCUAUAAAACGGCCCCACCCCUAUCUCCCUUUGCUGACUCUCUUUUCGGACUCAGCCCACCUGCACCCAGGUGAAAUAAACAACCAUGUUGCUCACACAAAGCCUGUUUGGUGGUCUCUUCACACGGACGCACAUGAAAUUUGGUGCCGUGACUCGGAUCGGGGGACCUCCCUUGGGAGAUCAAUCCUCCGUCCUCCUGCUCUUUGCUCCAUGAGAAAGAUCCACCUACGACCUCAGGUCCUCAGACUGAUCAGCCCAAGAAACAUCUCACCAAUCUCAAAUCCGGUAAGUGGCCUCUUUUUACUCUCUUCUCCAACCUCCCUCACUAUCCCUCAACCUCUUUCUCCUUUCAAUCUUGGCGCCACACUUCAAUCUCUCCCUUCUCUUAAUUUCAAUUCCUUUCAUUUUCUGGUAGAGACAAAGGAGACACGUUUUAUCCGUGGACCCAAAACUCCGGCGCCGGUCACGGACUGGGAAGGCAGCCUUCCCUUGGUGUUUAAUCAUUGCAGGGACACCUCUCUGAUUAUACACUCACAUUUCAAGGGUGUCAGACCACACAGGGACGCCUGCCUUGGUCCUUCACCCUUAGUGGCAAGUCCCGCUUUUCUGGGGAAGGGUCAAGUACCCCAACCCCUUCUCUUGUCUCUACCCCUUCUCUGCUUUUCUGGGGCAGGGGCAAGUACCCCUCAACCCCUUCUCCUUCACCCUUAGCGGCAAGUCCCGCUUUCCUAGGGGGCAAGAACCCCCCAAUCCCUUAUUUCCACACCCCAACCUCUUAUCUCUGCGCCCCAGUCCCUUAUUUCCACGCCCCAACCUCUUGUCUCUGCGCCCCAAUCCCUUAUCUCUGCGCCCCAAUCCCUUAUUUCCACACCCCAACCUCUUAUCUCUGCGCCCCAGUCCCUUAUUUCCACGCCCCAACCUCUUAUCUCUGCGUCCCAAUCCCUUAUUUCCACGCCCCAACCUCUUAUCUCUGCGCCCCAAUCCCUUAUCUCUGCGCCCCAAUGCCUUAUUUCCGCGCCCCGACCCCCCCCUCCCGCUUUUCUGGAAGAAGAAGGCAGGAAUGUCAGGCCUCUGAGCCCAAGCCAAGCCAUCGCAUCCCCUGUGAUUUGCACCUAUACGCCCAGAUGGCCUGAAGUAACUGAAGAAUCACAAAAGAAGUGAAAAGGCCCUGCCCCGCCUUAACUGACGACAUUCCACCAUUGUGAUUUGUUCCUGCCCCAACUUAACUGAGUGAUUAACCCUGGGAAUUUCCUUCUCCUGGCUCAGAAGCUCCCCCACUGAGCACCUUGUGACCCCCGCCCCUGCCCACCAGAGAACAACCCCCUUUGACUGUAAUUUUCCAUUACCUUCCCAAAUCCUAUAAAACGGCCCCACCCCUAUCUCCCUUCGCUGACUCUCUUUUCGGACUCAGCCCACCUGCACCCAGGUGAAAUAAACAACCAUGUUGCUCACACAAA